UGAAAUCAAAUUUCAUAAGAUCUAUAUGUUCAUACAAAUUUAGUAUUUUCUUUUAUUUUGAGAAAUGUAACUAAAUUUGUAAUAGUAACAAAAAUAGUUAAAAAUCUACACAUAUACUAUCAAACCUUUAAAGAAGAAAAAAAACUCAAAGCAGUAGUAGAUAAGCACAAAUGGUCACAAAUUUAUUUUUUCUUGGUGCACUAAAACAAACGUAGAAUAAGUUUAAAAACAUGAAUGAAAUGUUUGCAAAGUUUGGAUAUGAAAAGAGAAGUCUGCAAGGUUUGUGGUUGCAAGGCUGCUUGUGCUUCACGAUAUGUCCGUGAGUAUAAGCUAGUUAAGUAAAGAAGAUUCUACAUACUCCUGCAGUUAGACUUUUAGUUGGAGAACUGCAGAUAGAAAGCAUGGCCUGCCACCGUCGGUACUGUGAUUGGUAAAGAAAGUUAUGUAAUCCUUAUAGCAUCUUAUCUAAGACACCUGCACAGCAAAUUAAAUGCAUGAAGAAGAAAAAAUAAUACUAAACUCAAACCAGAAAGAGAAACUAAGAUAACUUAAUGGAUUCCUAAUCCCAGUGUAUAUGCAUUUUGCAUUCUUUCAGGCUAAAAAGUUCUAGCAAACUAAAAGCAUCACCAAGUAAACACGAUUCUAAUCAAACAUCAUGCAUGUCAAGCUGCUAUCUCCGCCUCCCCAAUUAAUGCCCGCCACUGUCAAUGGCACAUUAGAAUCACAAUUCUUUCCUUCCAUCCCCAUCCACAGACUAUGCAGAUUUGUUUUUUGAACUUCUGAAAGUUCGAAUUCUUAAUCCAGUGACUCUUGUUCUAUCUUUGUAUGCAUGAGGUAAAAAAAGUUACUGAGCAGUACCUCAGGAAAACCAGAAGGUUAUGCAAUGUUGAACUAAAACCACGACAAGUAUUAUGUAACGGAAGGAGUAUAGAGUGAUGUCCGUACGUGAUGAUUAUUUCCUGGACAUAAUGUAUACUGAGUGUAGGUUUCAGAUGACAAACAGUAUAAGCACAGAUUCAAAAUAGAAAUAUGUCUAAACUAAGCCUAACGACCACACCGACUGAACAAAUCUACUGGGAGAUCAGAGAAGUUGUGCAACAAUAGAAGCAAGACCAGGAUAGAAUAGUACACAAGGUUGUCACACUUACAUCAGAAUUACUUGUGCUCCUAUCAUCAACCCUCACUGUCAUAGAAUUCACCUCAGCUUUUUCAGCAACGGAAGAAAUGUAGUUACCUCCCUGCAAAAAAGUUGAGUUAUCAAUUGCAGGAAACAAAUUGCACCACAAGGAAACAUACUUAUUGCCAUGAAACAUAAUCAAAAGGACCAAAUACUAUUUACUCGGAUUGUUAGUGUAAUCCUACCAUAUGCUUAAAGCCUAAAGAAAUUGGCUGUGAACCACAAUAACCAAACAACAAUAAAAAAAUGAAUUAUUCCUAUGCAAG
rnacentral:lncRNA from 1 species